rnacentral:tRNA from 1 species
GGGCCGUUAGCUCAGUGGUAGAGCAGCUGACUCUUAAUCAGCGGGUCCAGGGUUCGAAUCCCUGACGGCCCU